UCUUAAAAGACCUUCUUACAUUUCCGAAGAAGACAUAAAAGCAUUUGUGGCUACGAAACUUUCGGAGCACAAGCAACUGAAAGGCGGUGUGGCGUUCCUCACCAGCAUCCCUAAGAGUCUUUCGGGAAAGAUCCUGCGAAGACAGCUCAGAGGCAAAUGAUUACCUCCCAAUCAGGUUACUCCUGCAGAAUUGGAAGAGAUUCUUCGACGCCACCCUGCAGUGAGCGAUGUCCCUGUGAUAGGCCUACCACAUGAGAGAUCAGGAAAGGUGCCCAAAGACCCGAAACUCACUGUGGAUGAAGUGAAAAAUUUCGUAGCAGACAAAGUGUCAGAUUACAAGCACCUGGCAGGAGGUGUACAAUUUGUUUCUAGUAUUCCAAAGAACCCCACAGGAAAAAUAUUGUGACGCAAACUUAAAGAAAUUUACUGUAAAUAAAUUAAGAUGGCGUGUCAA